rnacentral:sRNA from 1 species
CAUUGAAAGCUCGACAAGCAAAGUGGAAGCAACAGCAAAACGCUGCUGCCAACAGCAGCCUAGCAAAGCCAAAUUAACAAAUUCAAAAUCAGAAAGAGUUCAAGUGCAAACAACCACGGAUGGCCAAAUGAGCCAAGGGCCGAACAACAAAUGUCAUUAAGCAUUGCUGAAACCUUUGUGAAAUAAGCAACAACAAUAACAAAAAAAAAACAAAAACAAAAUGAUUACUAUUGUCAGCUCCCACAAAAAAAAAGUAAUAGAAAAUAAUGUCAAUUUCUGACAAAUUUCUUUGUUAUUCAAAAAAAACGAAAAAAAAAAUAAACAAAAAAAUAAGCAACUGCUACAACAAAUGACUUCAAUCACCCUAAGCUAUGCUAAUUACAGCUAAAGGCAGUAGUCUGUCUAAUCAUCACUGGCAAACAUUAUUAUUGCUUAAUAACCAACAUACAGUCAUCGGGUUUAAAUUAAAACAAACUCUCUGUGAUUGCUGCAGCCAACAAUACGUCUUGAGGUAAUCAAGAUAUUUGACUUAAAAUGAAUACAGAUAUCAUAACCUGCAAUACAUAAACAAUGACAACAUUCUGAAUUAUAAAAGUAUUUCAAACUGAGCUGCUGCCUUUUAACAGAUUUACUUUGCACUUGGGCGAAAGUAAUUGAAAAUAUGCCACACGUCACCAUGAAGCAAUGAAAUGAAAAUUCGAUUUACAAUCAAAGUGUGCGACAGAACGAAACGAAACGGAAGCGGCGGAUAUGGAAAACAUGGCUGCUAACUUAAUAACUACAAAAUCAAAUACAAUCGCACACCCGGACACGAUACUUACCCAAACAGAGACAUAAAGAGAAAUAAAAUAUAGUUACUAUACACUCAAACAUACAUAGAUACGCACGAGUAUGUGUGUAUAUAUGUGUGCAUAUACAACAACAAACACCGUUGCAAACAUAUGUCAAUGUGUACUCAAUGACGACAGCAACUCAUUAAGGCCUCUGUUAAAAUAAUGAUGGCUCUAUGCAAACAAACCAGAAAAUCGAAAACGAAAAACUCACCCCACCAUCCGCUACGGGUAUUGGUGGUAAACACCCCCGUACCGCCAGAAAUGAUGUCCUUAGUCAUAGUGAGAGAUGGUGCUGCACCAUUGGCCCCCACACCACCGCCGCCCAGCAUUCAUCGCAGCCAAUAUCAAGGCGAUUAUGAGGGCUGAUGCUCUGAUGCUGGCCCCAAACCAGAAAUGCAAUUUAAUGUCAAACGUUUAUGUGAAAGUGCAAAAGGAGGAGUGUUGACUGCCCAGCCAAGGCAACUGCGCAACUGCACUUGAACCUGAAACUGUUUCGCGGGGAGAUGCUUAUGUCCUUCUCCCUCCUUCCCUUUCUCCUGGUUCCACCAAUCAACAAAAGGUUAGGCUGUAUGGGGAAAUGCCAAUUGGGUGGUUUUUGCAAUCGGAAAAUGAAAGUGAAAGUAAAACUGAAAGUGCAAGUGGAACCAUUGCCAAACCAAAAGGCCAUAGAAGAGAGAGAGAGAGUAAGCCAAAAUAAAGCAA